UGCCUCAUCGCCAUCGACAUUCUCCAAGCGUCGUUGUCGUGGUGGUUCGACAGGAUAUGGCAUAUUGUUACACGGAAGAAUCUUUGGAACUUCAGCAUCAUGCGCAUUUUGUACUGGAAUCUCUGGAGCAUCGAGGCAGCACUGGCCAAUACAGUGAACAACUACGUUGAGCAUAACAGCGAAAGCCGUAAUGUGCGAGAGGCAGCGUUCUUUUGUUCCCCGGCUUUCGCGUAGAGAUCAGUUGUCGUUCUUUCUUCUCGUUCUAACGUUGUCGUUUGUUGAACAAUCACAUGUGGUAGUGGUGUGGAGCAAUAACAGCUUAGUAUCGAAGAAAAAAGCUAUCAUUUUCUUUACCUGCAGAGUCUGGUGCGUAUCACUGACGAAUUCAUGCGAACUGUGGGUCUCUGUGUGAUGUGUGUGUGUGACAUGUAUACUUUGGCGUGCGUUCAAACAGUACAAAGCGCAGGUACUACUGAUUCAGGUACUAUUUUAUAGGCUGUCGUGAAAUCUUGCAUUGGGGCGACGAAAGCAACGGUGGCCUAUUCUAUGAACUGUGAGCAGCUUUGCUCAGCUACACUGGCCUUUCAGAUAAAGGAAUGCAGUACCUUUUGACAUCUGACUGCACCGUUCUCCAAACACCCACACACACCCAUGGACAGCCUCACGCAUGUGUAAAGUACCUGGUGUCUCUACAACAAUGAAGAGCAAGGCAUGAACCACAAGACGUCGCUUGGGCCUCUUUAAGCUGCUUCCGCAUCUAACAAUCUAUACGGAAGCUGCGGGAUGACCGUUCCGAAGAGGUGUAGCAAUCAUGUGAUUAUUAUCAUUAUUACCAUUAUCUGUGAUCAUCUUUUUGUACAUGUUUCACUAACUGAUUCAAGAUUUUA